rnacentral:rRNA from 1 species
UACAGAGGUCUCAAGCGUUGUUCGGAUUCAUUGGGCGUAAAGGGUGUGUAGGUGGCGCCGUAAGUCGGGUGUGAAAUUUCGGAGCUUAACUCCGAAACUGCAUUCGAUACUGCGGUGCUUGAGGACUGGAGAGGAGACUGGAAUUCACGGUGUAGCAGUGAAAUGCGUAGAGAUCAUGAGGAAGACCAGUGGCGAAGGCGGGUCUCUGGACAGUUCCUGACACUGAGACACGAAGGCCAGGGGAGCAAACGGG